rnacentral:lncRNA from 1 species
AUGGGCAGUUGCCAAAGAGAGAAACUUAAAGUAACAUUCCACCUUUGGCUAAUUGGAAAUGCCCACUACCUUUUGGGAAGAUUUACUGGCCAUUUUCAGAAGGCCUGUGUAUAUAAUAUGAAAAAGCUGCUCUCAACAUUCCCCCAACCUUUUAAAAGAAAACUUGCUGCAUGUGAUAAAGAAGUUAGAAAACCCACACGUCUUGGAAACGCCCAUUUAUUUUAAAAAAAUGACAGAAAAGAAACGUUUUCUGAGAGUGACUUUGAAAUGAAUAUGGGUAGACCACCUGGAGAAGCGACACUAGGGGUGAUUCUUGUCUGCAUUUGUUCUGUUAGAGGACUUGGAGAAGACAGAAGAAUGUCCAGUACCAGACUGGUUACAUGUAGAAGACGUUGUUUGUAUUGUAACCAUUGUUUUGUGUGUGCAUUUUAGUCCUCAUUAGUAUAUAUAUAAUUGACAAUGCUAAGUACUUUAUUGAACCAUCUGGUCUUUUGAGAUAAUUCUCAAGUGCCUGAUACAUGUUAAAAAGUAGUAGUAGUAAAAUAACACAUUUUGUAAAUUUCUUUUUGUUA